GGCCGGUUAGCUCAGUUGGUCAGAGCGUCGUGCUGAUAAUGCGAAGGUCGCGCCAGGUUCGAUGCCCGUACUGGCCA